GCAUAAUCAAGAGGAGAAUUCUAAGGUAUGAAUAUUGUUUGCCUUGUUCUUUUUCAUAUGUAUAUGUGUGGUAGAGGAUUAUAUGUAUUGGUUGUUAUUGAAAGGUGAUGGAAAUAGGGUUAUAAAUUUCCAAAUCACAUAGAGAACUACCGGUAUAAAUUUCCAAAUAUGACUCAAACAAAACUCUGAGACUUAGUUUUUCUAAAUCAAACAUAGAAAAUUUAGCACAGUUGAGAGAUUAUAUUCAAUCUUUUCUCUUAAAACACUGAGAAAAAAUACCAACAUAAAUCAACAAACUUGAAAUUGAAUUACUUGAAAUUCAACUCAAAGCACCAAGAAAUGAACAACUUACAAAAUUUUGAAGAGUUGUUGACUUCAAUCGAUUUAGGUUUUCCGAUUGUGGCUGAACUGCGCAAGGUAUAAGAAUUGUAGAAAAAUAUAUUAUUUUUUGUGGUUUUAUUUGAACCAUAUAAUUACCUUGCAUAGUGGAAAAUCGUGAUUAAAAAUAACCAGCCAAAACUCAGUUUCAUGUUCAAGGAUUUUUAUGUGUAAGAGUUUAAAAAAUGUAACUUGUAACUUUUGGAGAUAAUCAAAGCAAAUGGAUAUGGAAAAGAACGUCGAUAGAUAGAAUAGAGGAAAAACAAUAGCAAGAAAAAGUGAUAUGUGUCGUUAGGAAAAGCCAGAUACUUUGGAUGACAUUACACUUUUAGUGAAAAGACUAAAUUUCCUUAGAAGCAGGCAUGAUGACCUUCACCUGCUUCCAAGGAUCUUCUAUAUAUGUUACAUCCUAGAUUUUGGCCUUAGAAAUUUUUCUUGAAAUUCAUUCUCUGGACUCAAUACAACUCAUGGAUACGAGUCGUAUGCUGGGGUACGAGUAGUAUAGUCCUAUCGGAUGCCGACCAGUGUUAGUUGGUCGGAUGGUUUUGAUCACUGGAAUGGUCACGACUUAAGGGUAUGAGCCGUAAGGCUUGGAUACGAGUUAUAUGAAGGACUCGUAUGGUGGGAAGUGUUUGAUCCUCUUGGUGAUUUAUUUUGCCAGGGAUAUGGAUCAUGGGUAUGGAUCGUAUGUUGAGGUUACGAUUUGGUUGGAUGAGUCUUAUACUAGACAAUGUAUGAUAUAAGGUUAAGUCCUGGGUACGAAUAGUGGUAACCAAUCAUAAGGAAGGGUACGACUCAUAAGAGGGUCAGUUGUAUCCUUGUGAUGGGUUUGUAAGGGACUUAAGUGGGGGGUAUUCUGUACAUUUUCCUACAUACCCUAAUUAUGAUCCAUGACUUUUAAUACUUAGAAGGUUAUUUAUCCUAUAAUUAUAUUUAUUAACACAUCGAAAACUAUUCCUAAACAUUCAACAAUUCUCUCAAGAGCUUUUGAGGCAAGAGAGUUAGGAUUUCAACUUGGGAAUUGCUUUGGGGCUUGCUUUGGCGAUUUUCUUCCAUCAUCUUUCUCGGUUUAAGGCAUGUUUCUCUUCCCUACUUCUUAUCUCAAAAAAUAUGUGAAUUUUAUGGAUGUUUUCAUGAUUUCAAUGUUGCAUGGUUUAUGGUUUUCAACUAUUAAUUGAGGGGUUUGAUGUAAAUGGUUUGGUUAUGGUUUCCUAUGGUUUAAUUAUGAUUUUAUAUGCAUAAAUAAUGGUUUUUGGCAAUUGGUUUGGAUGGUAAUGGUUUAAUGGUCUUUAGAAUUGGUUUUGGUUAUAUUAUGCCCCCAAGGUGAUUGAUAAAAUGCUUAUAAAGAUAUAUUCAUUGCAUUGACUUGUUUAAAUGGGACUCUUGCUUGUUUUCGGCUUAUGCAUGAAACUAUAAAUGGUUUAAAUGGUUUACAAAGGUUAAAGGCUUAUUUAUUUUUCUUGUGGAGUACCUGAAAGUCUCCUAGGAGGUUAAUAUGGUAAACGAAAAAGGGCACUUGAGAGUCCCCUUAACCUAAAUGGUUUGUCUAUGGAUAAAUCUUGCAAGUAUGGUUGGUAUGAGGAUACCAAAAAUAAAUGUCUUUGGUAAAUAAAUGGUAAAUGGAUUUUGGUUUGGACAUGGUUUUAAUUUGGGCAUUAAUGGCGGGAUGUGUAACUAAGCCGUGGAAGGUGGGGGUUCCGGAGAAACCGAAACUGGAAACUCAUAUUUGCCGAUAUGAGGGGUCUUCGACGGCCAUGUACCAGUGUCACAUUUUAUAUUAGAGGGAUGUACUAGUCAUCCCAUGGGAUAUUUCCUGGUAGUACGGCUACAUGCACUGGGACCCUUUCAACCGGGGGAGUUGAACCCAUACGACCCAUGGGUGUGGUAAACGGCAAGGUUACACAACCCAGAUACAUGCUAGUGGUCACUCGCUAACCGAUCUAUUGGCGGUUGUAUACCCAUACUAUGAAGGAACCAACCAUUCUACUCCUCCUGUCUAGCACACAGAUUUGGUAUCAGCAUUUGGAUUAAAGUGGUGAGCUUUCAUCUUUUCGGAAGUCUCCAUUUCAUGAUAUGGACAUUCUUAGACAAUUUAUUUUCAUUUUGGACAUUGGUUUUGGCAAUGGUUGGGGGCAUGUCCCAACUGGAUAUUUGUAUUCUCUUGGAUAGAGGCUAUGUGGUAUUUCUAGGGGUUGGUAUGGGCGGGAUCAGUAUUCGUGUCGACCUUAGCAUUGGAAUAAGUUGGGAGGCUGGCAUCAUCGGACAUAAUUUCUAACUGAUCCAUCAUAUUACAUUUUGGGUUUGAUUGUCA